rnacentral:rRNA from 1 species
UACGUAGGUGGCAAGCGUUGUCCGGAUUUACUGGGCGUAAAGCGUAUGCAGGCGGGUUUUUAAGUAGGAAGUGAAAGGUUGGAGCGUCCAACUCCAACACUGCUCCCUAUACUGGGAAUCUUGAGUGCCGGAGAGGAAGACGGAACGACACGUGUAGCGGUGAAAUGCGUUGAGAUGGUGUCGGAACACCAAUGGCGAAAGCAGUCUUCGUGGACGGAUACUGACGCUGAGAUACGAAAGCCAGGUAGCAAACAGG